GUACCGUGAGGGAAAGGCGAAAAGAACCCCGGCGAGGGGAGUGAAAAAGAACCUGAAACCGUGUACGUACAAGCAGUGGGAGCACGCUUAGGCGUGUGACUGCGUACCUUUUGUAUAAUGGGUCAGCGACUUAUAUUCUGUAGCAAGGUUAACCGAAUAGGGGAGCCGAAGGGAAACCGAGUCUUAACUGGGCGUUAAGUUGCAGGGUAUAGACCCGAAACCCGGUGAUCUAGCCAUGGGCAGGUUGAAGGUUGGGUAACACUAACUGGAGGACCGAACCGACUAAUGUUGAAAAAUUAGCGGAUGACUUGUGGCUGGGGGUGAAAGGCCAAUCAAACCGGGAGAUAGCUGGUUCUCCCCGAAAGCUAUUUAGGUAGCGCCUCGUGAAUUCAUCUCCGGGGGUAGAGCACUGUUUCGGCAAGGGGGUCAUCCCGACUUACCAACCCGAUGCAAACUGCGAAUACCGGAGAAUGUUAUCACGGGAGACACACGGCGGGUGCUAACGUCCGUCGUGAAGAGGGAAACAACCCAGACCGCCAGCUAAGGUCCCAAAGUCAUGGUUAAGUGGGAAACGAUGUGGGAAGGCCCAGACAGCCAGGAUGUUGGCUUAGAAGCAGCCAUCAUUUAAAGAAAGCGUAAUAGCUCACUGGUCGAGUCGGCCUGCGCGGAAGAUGUAACGGGGCUAAACCAUGCACCGAAGCUGCGGCAGCGACGCUGAUGCGUUGUUGGGUAGGGGAGCGUUCUGUAAGCCUGUGAAGGUGUGCUGUGAGGCAUGCUGGAGGUAUCAGAAGUGCGAAUGCUGACAUAAGUAACGAUAAAGCGGGUGAAAAGCCCGCUCGCCGGAAG
rnacentral:rRNA from 1 species